UACGUAGGGGGCAAGCGUUGUCCGGAUUUAUUGGGCGUAAAGAGCGUGUAGGCGGCUUGGUAGGUCCGUUGUGAAAACUCGAGGCUCAACCUCGAGAUGUCGGCGGAAACCACUUGGCUAGAGUCCGGAAGAGGAGAGUGGAAUUCCUGGUGUAGCGGUGAAAUGCGCAGAUAUCAGGAAGAACACCUAUGGCGAAGGCAGCUCUCUGGGACGGUACUGACGCUGAGACGCGAAAGCGUGGGGAGCGAACAGG
rnacentral:rRNA from 1 species